rnacentral:rRNA from 1 species
GACGAACGCUGGCGGCGUGCUUAACACAUGCAAGUCGAACGGAAAGGCCCUGCUUUUGUGGGGUGCUCGAGUGGCGAACGGGUGAGUAACACGUGAGUAACCUGCCCUUGACUUUGGGAUAACUUCAGGAAACUGGGGCUAAUACCGGAUAGGAGCUCCUGCUGCAUGGUGGGGGUUGGAAAGUUUCGGCGGUUGGGGAUGGACUCGCGGCUUAUCAGCUUGUUGGUGGGGUAGUGGCUUACCAAGGCUUUGACGGGUAGCCGGCCUGAGAGGGUGACCGGCCACAUUGGGACUGAGAUACGGCCCAGACUCCUACGGUGGGCAGCAGUGGGGAAUAUUGCACAAUGGGCGGAAGCCUGAUGCAGCAACGCCGCGUGCGGGAUGACCGCCUUCGGGUUGUAAACCGCUUUCGCCUGUGACGAAGCGUGAGUGACGGUAAUGGGUAAAGAAGCACCGGCUAACUACGUG